ACUCCUACGGGAGGCAGCAGUGGGAAUAUUGCACAAUGGGGAAGCCCAUCGAUGCAGCCAUGCCGCGCUGUGUGAAGAAGGCCAAUUCGGGGCUUUGGUUAAAGACACUUUUCAGUAGGGAGGAAGGUAGUGUAGUUAACACCUGCAUUAUUUGACGUUACCUACAGAAGAAGCACCGGCUAACUCCGUGCCAGCAGCCGCGGUAAUACGGAGGGUGCGAGCGUUAAUCGGAAUUACUGGGCGUAAAGCGCAUGCAGGCGGCCUGUUAAGUCAGAUGUGAAAGCCCGGG
rnacentral:rRNA from 1 species